GCAUAGGUGGUUCAGUGGUAGAAUUCUUGCCUUCCAUACAAGGGAUCGUGGUUCAGUUCCUGGCCAGCGCA
rnacentral:tRNA from 1 species